rnacentral:rRNA from 1 species
CAACGUGAGCAACCUGCCUUUCAGGAGGGGAUAACAGUUGGAACGACUGCUAAUACCGCAUAACGCUGCGAUGGGGCAUCCCGAUGCAGCCAAAGGAGCAAUCCGCUGGAAGAUGGGCUCGCGGCCGAUUAGCUAGUUGGUGGGGCAACGGCCCACCAAGGCGACGAUCGGUAGCCGGACUGAGAGGUUGAUCGGCCACAUUGGGACUGAGACACGGCCCAGACUCCUACGGGAGGCAGCAG